AUAAAUGUAAGAGAAAGAUUAAGCAGUCAUACAAUUUUGAUGUGUGUGAUUGUGCUGUUUUAUGACCCUAGGGUGAAUCGACUGGAAACUGGAGGCUUCUCCCAUGGUCACAGCUAUUUAGAAUGGCCAUGACGUGCAGACUGCAGGUCCUGAGGACCCCUCCUCACUCGUCGGCCCUGCCUGCCCCUGCUGUGAAGGAGUGGUGCCUUAGUAACGAUGCCCCCCAGGACGUGGACGCGUUCAUCCAGGGUUGCUGGCCACGAGACAUCUGUGCGGCAGAGCCUGGGAUGGAUGGUGGAUGCUCCCCGGGGCCCAGGACACCCUGCUCGGCCGCCCGUUGCUCCUGUACCUGGGUGAUGCCUUGGACAACGGAGGUGCUGAGCUGAAGUAAGAAGCCCCUUGGAUCCAGACGUCGUGGGAGGCCAUUGUGUGAGGACAGGGACCCCCAGGAGUCACUGCAGGAAGUGUCUUCCUUUGGUAACCGAUGAAAGAUAAUCACGGUCUUUUUUUCCAUAUUUUAAACAAUACACUAAAAAUGAAACAUCGAUGGUUUUAGCAGCAAAUUGGAGGCAC
rnacentral:lncRNA from 1 species